rnacentral:tRNA from 5 species
GGGCGGUAAGUAUUCCGGGAUGAAACGUUACGGAGUGCGCAUGACGUAAAGAGGCCGGUUCGAUCCCGGCACCGUCCA